AGCGAACGCUGGCGGCAGGCCUAACACAUGCAAGUCGAACGAACCUUUCGGGGUUAGUGGCGGACGGGUGAGUAACACGUGGGAACGUGCCUUUAGGUUCGGAAUAACUCAGGGAAACUUGUGCUAAUACCGAAUGUGCCCUUCGGGGGAAAGAUUAAUCGCCUUUAGAGCGGCCCGCGUCUGAUUAGCUAGUUGGUUGGGGUAAUGGCUCACCACGGCGACGAUCAGUAGCUGGUCUGAGAGGAGGAUCGGCCACAUUGGGACUGAGAUACGGCCCAAAAUCAGACGUGAGGCAGCAGUGGGGAAUAUUGCAAAAUGGGCUGAAGCUUGAUGAAGUAAAGUAGUGUGCGGGAGGAAGGCAGUCGGGUUGUAAACAGAUUACGCCUGUGACGAAGCGGGAGUGACGGUAAUGGGUAAAGAAGCACCGGCUCAUUAAGUG
rnacentral:rRNA from 1 species